UACGGGGGGAGCAAGCGUUGUUCGGAUUUACUGGGCGUAAAGGGCGCGUAGGCGGCGCAACAAGUCACUUGUGAAAUCUCCGGGCUUAACCCGGAGCGGUCAAGUGAUACUGUCGUGCUAGAGUGCGGAAGGGGCUACUGGAAUUCUCGGUGUAGCGGUGAAAUGCGCAGAUAUCGGGAGGAACACCAGUAGCGAAGGCGGCUCGCUGGGCCAUUCCUGACGCUGAGACGCGAAAGCUAGGGGAGCGAACAGG
rnacentral:rRNA from 1 species